GGGGGCGUAUGGCUUUCGACUGAGACAAUGGGGUUCAUAAACCUCAAGCAGGGCUGAGUAACCCUUAAAACUGCUCAAAAACAAUAAACGCAGAAGACUAUUCUUUUGCAAUGGCAGCCUAAGCGCUGUCACCUGUAAGCGAUUCUUGCCUUCAGGGUUGCUUGCGGGUUAGAAAUGAAGGAUAGGUUCUGCAAAGCCGGGGUGCAGGGCUGAAAUUUACCGGCUCUAAAGCAGGAAUGGUUGGUUCCAGAUCCAUCUGCUUCGAAAAACAAAAGUGGAACUAAGCUUGUGAAUAGGGUUUAUGAGGCCUGGUUUCAGGACGUGGGUUCGAUUCCCACCGCCUCCAGAU
rnacentral:tmRNA from 1 species